UACAGAGGUGGCAAGCGUUGUUCGGAAUUACUGGGCGUAAAGGGCGCGUAGGCGGUUCGUUAAGUCCUGUGUGAAAUCCCCCGGCUCAACUGGGGAACUGCACAGGAAACUAGCGGGCUUGAGUUCGGGAGAGGGAAGCGGAAUUCCGGGUGUAGCGGUGAAAUGCGUAGAUAUCCGGAGGAACACCGGUGGCGAAGGCGGCUUCCUGGACCGACACUGACGCUGAGGCGCGAAAGCUAGGGAGCAA
rnacentral:rRNA from 1 species